rnacentral:rRNA from 1 species
GGAAAACUGUCUUUUUUGUUUAAAUUGAAUUUAACAUUUGUGUGAAAAGGCAUUAAUGGUUCGGGGGGACGAUAAGACCCUAUAAAAUUUAACAUGUUGAUAUUAUUUGUUAGAAUUGUUAAAUAAUGAUCAAUUGAUUAAUAAUGUUUUGCUGGGGCGGCAUGAAUAUAAUUCUAACUGUUUUUUAUAUUUAAUAUAUAUGAAUAGAUUGUGG